UACGAAGGGGGCGAGCGUUGUUCGGAAUUACUGGGCGUAAAGGGUGCGUAAGCGGUUUGACAAGUCUGAUGUGAAAUCUAUGGGCUCAACCCAUAGUCUGCAUUAGAAACUGUCGGGCUUGAGUAUGGGAGAGGUGAGUGGAAUUUCCGGUGUAGCGGUGAAAUGCGUAGAGAUCAUGAGGAAGACCAGUGGCGAAGGCGGGUCUCUGGACAGUUCCUGACACUGAGGCACGAAGGCCAGGGGAGCAAACGGG
rnacentral:rRNA from 1 species